UACGAAGGGGGCUAGCGUUGCUCGGAAUCACUGGGCGUAAAGCGCACGUAGGCGGCUUUUUAAGUCAGGGGUGAAAUCCCAGAGCUCAACUCUGGAACUGCCUUUGAUACUGUCGAUCUGGAGUAUGGAAGAGGUGAGUGGAAUUCCGAGUGUAGAGGUGAAAUUCGUAGAUAUUCGGAGGAACACCAGUGGCGAAGGCGGCUCACUGGUCCAUUACUGACGCUGAGGUGCGAAAGCGUGGGGAGCAAACAGG
rnacentral:rRNA from 1 species